rnacentral:rRNA from 1 species
GUGUCAGCAGCCGCGGUAAUACGGAGGGGGUUAGCGUUGUUCGGAAUUACUGGGCGUAAAGCGCGCGUAGGCGGAUUAGAAAGUUGGGGGUGAAAUCCCGGGGCUCAACCUCGGAACUGCCUCCAAAACUGCUAGUCUAGAGUUCGAGAGAGGUGAGUGGAAUUCCGAGUGUAGAGGUGAAAUUCGUAGAUAUUCGGAGGAACACCAGUGGCGAAGGCGGCUCACUGGCUCGAUACUGACGCUGAGGUGCGAAAGUGUGGGGAGCAAACAGGAUUAGAUACCCUGGUAGUCCACACCGUAAACGAUGAAUGCCAGUCGUCGGGUAGUAUACUAUUCGGUGACACACCUAACGGAUUAAGCAUUCCGCCUGGGGAGUACGGUCGCAAGAUUAAAACUCAAAGGAAUUGACGGGG